ACAUGAUCUAAAAUGUAUAGCACAGGGGGAACAGAAAGGAAUCUGGAGGCAUGACGAGAAAGAGUGCAGCCUGCGUAUGAAGGGUCUUGUAAGCUGUCCAGCUUGAACCUUUUCGUUGUGGUGAACAUGAUGGAUUCCAGCUCUUGAAACUGUUCUGCAAAGGACAGUAUAUCUGAAGUGUUUCUGGAAGCAUUCAUUACUUGCCUUGGAGACACUAUGUGAAAUGACCAUACGCAGUUGCUGAACCUGGGGAAAAGGACGUAUGCUAAUUCAGAGCCAGUAGCAUUUGGCAGAAAGUGUGGAGCAUGUUGUCCUCUGAGAGGUUCCACCCAGCAGCUGACUCAGACAGAUACGGAGACCCACAGCCAAACAGUGGAUGGAACUUGGGGACUGUUACGGAAGAACAGAAGAAAGGAUUGCAGGUCCCAUAUGGGAUACGAACUCCAUAGGAAAGCCAACAGAGUCAGCUUGUUGUGAAUUCUGAGCUAGGUCUUUUGUCUCUCCCAUGCCCACUUUCCACAGUGGGCUUAGCAGAAGCCAUUUUUGUUUGACCCUAGGAAAGUGAGAUAACUAAAUUUGAACCAAGUUUCAGGAAAUUGUGUCAUGUAAGAGUAUUUUGGCAUGUCCAAUAAACCAAAUUCUACCAAAA